rnacentral:lncRNA from 1 species
GAACAGGGAGUUUGGGUACCAGAAGCUUGAUGUGAAAAGCAUCGAUGAUGAAGAUGUGGAUGAAAACGAAGAUGACGUGUAUGGAAACUCAUCAGGACGGAAGCACAGGGGCCACUCAGAGUCGCCCGAGAAGUGCUGCCAUGGCCACGACUGAUGUUACACUCGAGCUGAGGAGGCCGGCUGCAGCCCCAAGACAGAGCGCUACUCCUGGCAGUGCGUCAAUCAGAGCGUCCUGUGCGGUUACCAUGCCAGCAAUGAUUCCUUUUGAGUUUCUGACAGAAGAUAGUGGUUUUCAUCCAAAUAAGUCAACUACUCUACCCCAUCCCUAAGCCACUUGUAUGGAAAGAAAAAGAGGAAGAAGCCAGUACUGUGACUGCGUAAGCUUCCCCCAGCAUCACCGGCUAUGAGAUGUGUGGCAGCUGAGACCCGGGAACUGCUCAAGGGCACCAGGCCCCAUCUGUCUGCACUCACUCACCUUCCUCAGGUACUCGCAUGGGCAUGUCACUGACUUUACAUGCUGCUGCAGC